rnacentral:piRNA from 1 species
GCUGUCUAUAGGCGGCUUGUGUUAACCAGC